CGCUACUACCGAUUGGAUGGUUUAGUGAGGUCCUCGGAUCGGCCCCGCCAGGGUCGGUCGCGGUCCUGGCGGAGCGAUCAAACUUGACUAUCUGGAGGAGGUAAAAGUCGUAACAAGGUUUCCGUAGGUGGACCUGCGGAAGGAUCAUUA
rnacentral:rRNA from 1 species